GGGCUUCGGCCCUGGGGACAGCGGCGAACGGGUGAGUAACACGUGGAUAACCUGCCCUCGGCACCGGGAUAGCCCGAGGAAACUCGGAUUAAUACCGGAUAGCCUUUCCGACUCUCGGGUCGGUUCGAAAAGGUAGCUUCGGCCUCUGGCCGAGGAUGGGUCCGCGGCGGAUUAGCUUGUUGGUGGGGUAACGGCCUACCAAGGCUCCGAUCCGUAGCUGGUCUGAGAGGACGAUCAGCCACACUGGGACUGAGACACGGCCCAGACUCCUACGGGAGGCAGCAGUGGGGAAUCUUGCGCAAUGGGCGAAAGCCUGACGCAGCGACGCCGCGUGAGGGAAGAAGGCCUUCGGGUUGUAAACCUCUUUCAGGAGGGACGAAGCUACUCGGGUGAAUAGCCCAGAGGGUGACGGUACUUCCAGAAGAAGCCCCGGCUAACUACGUGCCAGCAGCCGCGGUAAUACGUAGGGGGCAAGCGUUGUCCGGAUUUACUGGGCGUAAAGAGCGUGUAGGCGGCCGCACAGGUCCGUUGUGAAAACUGGAGGCUUAACCUCCAGACGUCGACGGAAACCGUGUGGCUAGAGUCCGGAAGAGGAGAGUGGAAUUCCUGGUGUAGCGGUGAAAUGCGCAGAUAUCAGGAAGAACACCAAUGGCGAAGGCAGCUCUCUGGGACGGUACUGACGCUGAGACGCGAAAGCGUGGGGAGCGAACAGGAUUAGAUACCCUGGUAGUCCACGCCGUAAACGAUGGGUGCUAGGUGU
rnacentral:rRNA from 1 species